CUACGGGGGGCAGCAGUGAGGAAUAUUGCACAAUGGGGGAACCCUGAUGCAGCAACGCCGCGUGGAGGAUGACGCAUUUCGGUGUGUAAACUCCUUUUAUAUGUCAAGAAAAUGACGGUAGCAUAUGAAUAAGCACCGGCUAACUCCGUGCCAGCAGCCGCGGUAAUACGGAGGGUGCAAGCGUUACUCGGAAUCACUGGGCGUAAAGGACGCGUAGGCGGGUUGGAAAGUCAGGUGCGAAAUCCUACAGCUUAACUGUAGAACUGCACUUGAAACUUCUAAUCUAGAGUAUGGGAGGGGGAGAUGGAAUUAGUGGUGUAGGGGUAAAAUCCGUAGAUAUCACUAGGAAUACCUAAAGCGAAGGCGAUCUCCUGGAACAUUACUGACGCUAAGGCGUGAAAGCGUGGGGAGCAAACAGGAUUAGAUACCCCGGUAGUC
rnacentral:rRNA from 1 species